UACGAAGGGGGCUAGCGUUGCUCGGAAUCACUGGGCGUAAAGCGCACGUAGGCGGAUCUUUAAGUCAGGGGUGAAAUCCUGGAGCUCAACUCCAGAACUGCCUUUGAUACUGGGGAUCUCGAGUCCGGAAGAGGUGAGUGGAACUCCGAGUGUAGAGGUGAAAUUCGUAGAUAUUCGCAAGAACACCAGUGGCGAAGGCGGCUCACUGGUCCGGUACUGGACGCUGAGGUGCGAAAGCGUGGGGAGCAAACAGGG
rnacentral:rRNA from 1 species